GUUGGACUGGAAUGUCAAAAUUGCUGUUCGGCCAUUGCUCGUGAAAAAAACAAAUUUAUUUACAAAACAAAUCGUAUAUAUUGGUGACAAAUGCCUUCGUUAGCAGAAUAGUUCGCGUUUCACUGUAGCUCGAUAUCUACAAUUAGUGGUCGAAUCAUAACAGUGCAGAAGGAUGUUUUUAGUAUACCUUUUCGCUCCUAGCCGCGCAAUCAAUGCCUUUCUUUCCGAGCAAGAUUCAGUUUGGCUCCCAUCGGCGGGAAAGAAUUCAGCUUACGGCGAUGGUGACAAGAAAUAACGCUGAUUGUGGCUCCACUGAUUUCGCUCAGGGAGGAGGAGAAUACUGUGCAUAUACCAGGAAGGAGAUUACCAGAUCCAGAAGAUCCGGAAAGAGCUGUUACAAGUAAUUCGUUUUGCAUAAAUGCUAGAGCACAAGGAGGUUGACAAUGAUUGCAACAGAAAAGUAACCAGAAAUAUGUAGCAGCUGGUAUGGCAUCUUUAACAAUGUUGUUUCCUUCAGUUAUUUUCCUCAGCGAAUUGAUUUGAAACCAUAAUCACACAACCAAACAAAAAGUAAAUAAAUUUCAAAGCUAC